rnacentral:rRNA from 1 species
CUUUCCCUCUGGCGGCAGGCCUAACACAUGCAAGUCGAACGGUAACAGGAAGAAGCUUGCUUCUUUGCUGACGAGUGGCGGACGGGUGAGUAAUGUCUGGGAAACUGCCUGAUGGAGGGGGAUAACUACUGGAAACGGUAGCUAAUACCGCAUAACGUCGCAAGACCAAAGAGGGGGACCUUCGGGCCUCUUGCCAUCGGAUGUGCCCAGAUGGGAUUAGCUAGUAGGUGGGGUAACGGCUCACCUAGGCGACGAUCCCUAGCUGGUCUGAGAGGAUGACCAGCCACACUGGAACUGAGGCACGGUCCAGACUCCUACGGGAGGCAGCAGUGGGGAAUAUUGCACAAUGGGCGCAAGCCUGAUGCAGCCAUGCCGCGUGUAUGAAGAAGGCCUUCGGGUUGUAAAGUACUUUCAGCGGGGAGGAAGGGAGUAAAGUUAAUACCUUGGCUCAUUGACGUUACCCGCAGAAGAAGCACCGGCUAACUCCGUG